GACGAACGCUGGCGGCAGGCUUAACACAUGCAAGUCGAACGCCCCGCAAGGGGAGUGGCAGACGGGUGAGUAACACGUGGGAACGUACCCUUUGGUUCGGAAUAACUUGGGGAAACUCAAGCUAAUACCGGAUAAGCCCUUAUGGGGAAAGGUUUACUGCCGAAGGAUCGGCCCGCGUCUGAUUAGCUAGUUGGUGAGGUAAUGGCUCACCAAGGCGACGAUCAGUAGCUGGUCUGAGAGGAUGAUCAGCCACACUGGGACUGAGACACGGCCCAGACUCCUACGGGAGGCAGCAGUGGGGAAUAUUGGACAAUGGGCAACCCUGAUCCAGCCAUGCCGCGUGAGUGAUGAAGGCCUUAGGGUUGUAAAGCUCUUUUACCCGGGACGAUAAUGACUGUACCGGGAGAAUAAGCCCCGGCUAACUUCGUGCCAGCAGCCGCAGUAA
rnacentral:rRNA from 1 species